GUGCCCCGCGGCCCGGCAGCAUGCCGCCCAUGCCGCCGCCGACGGAGCUGUACCCCUGGGAGCGCGUCACAGUGCUGAGCUCCUGCGCGCUGUCCUUCCUGGGCUCCGGCCUGCUGGUGUGCACCCACGCGCUGUGGCCCGAGCUGCGCACGCGGCCCCGCCAGCUCCUGCUCUACCUGUCCCUGGCGGACCUGCUGUCGGCCGCCUCCUACUUCUACGGCGUGCUGCAGGACUUCGGCGCCACGUCUUGGGACUGUGUGCUGCAGGGCGCCCUCUCCACCUUCUCCAACACCAGCUCCUUCUUCUGGACCAUGGCCAUCGCCAUCUACCUCUACAUCACCAUCGUCAGGGGCUCGCCCACGGGCACCGGCCUGCUCUGCUUCUUCCACGCCGUGAGCUGGGGAAUCCCACUUGGCAUCACAGUGGCUGCUGUCGCCUUGAAAAAGAUCGGUUAUGAUGCAUCAGAUGUGUCUGUGGGAUGGUGCUGGAUCAACCUGGAAGCAGAGGAUCGGGUCCUUUGGAUGCUGUUGGCGGGGAAGGUCUGGGAGAUUCUGGCCUACCUCAUCUUGCCAGUUCUCUACAUCCUCAUCAAGAAACACAUCAACAGAGCGCAUGCGGCACUAUCUGAAUAUCGUCCCAUCCUAGCGAGAACACCUGCCUUUCAGCCCAGGACGUCCAUUGCAGAUAAGAAGCUGAUCCUCAUCCCUAUCAUCUUCAUUUUCCUCCGCAUCUGGAGCACCGUGCGGUUCUUCCUGACCCUCUGCAGCUCCCCUGCCGUGCAGAAUUCCCUCCUGGUGGUCCUGCAUGGAAUUGGGAACACGUUCCAGGGAGGCGCCAACUGCAUCAUGUUUGUGCUCUGCACCCGGGUGGUACGGACGCGGCUGCUCUCCUACCUCUGCUGCUGUCGCUACAAUGCCUCUAAUCAGCCUCCGCAGAACUCGGACGGGCAUUACCAGCAGACCGAGCCCCACAAGAGCAGAGAAGUGCAAGAGACCGACCGGAGGAAGGCCAUGUUCUCCAGUACCUGAGCCAUGGAUCUCCGAACGACAAUGGUAGCAUCAGUCUUCCUUGGUAAAUGUCUAAUUGUAUUUGACUUGCCACCACGUGCCUAUAGAGGGAGCUAAACACUGGAAGAAAAGGAACAUCGAACGCAGGCCAAGUCGCAGGACAAGCCUCCGGCUGGAAGUCCUAUCCCAGCUGCGGCUGCCUUGGCUCCUUUCUCAGGAUGUCCUGGAAGAUGUUACUACAUCACACUUCAACUUUGUCCGUCCUUCUCGUCUCAUAGGAACUUAGACGUUAUUCUUGGGGUUUGAUUUCCCUUUUUUAGGAGGUGGAUUUCUCACUGUGUAUCCAGGGAGGAGGAAAAUCACGAUGACCUGAAAAUGGUGAAGCUUCUGAGUGGACCUGUCUUGGGCAUGUGAUAGAUUUAACUCCUGGUGCACAAGGUCUUGAAAGGCACCUUGUCCAGGUCCUGGUCCUCCUCCCUGGGUGGAUGGGGACAGUGACCUAGCAAUGUCUUCUUUUUUAAAAUCCUUGGGUGUUUUCCUUUGGUGUUUUUGUCCCUCCCGCAGGGCAGGCAGCAACUCGUCUGCCCUCCUAGAUUUGAGGUGUCAUGAGUUUGCAUGGCCUCUUGGGGAAAUUCACGGCUGUGUGGGCAGUUUGUUGUUGAGGGUAGCUAACUUGGGGCGAUUACCGAACAUGCUCCAUCCAAUGGGAACAGCCUGUGAAUGGACAUAUAGAUGUGUUGUGUUGUGUAUCCUCCAAAUCCAGGGUUUAUUGCUUCCAAAGUAUGAUCUGGUUUUUUGUUUAAUGCUUCCCUUUCCCUAACUGGCAUUUUAAAAUCACAGCUUGAGUUUUUAGAGACACUAUCCUUUUAAGAAUGUCCUGUUUACAGCUCCUCUUUCUAUGCACUUUCUAAACUUUUGUCAUUUUAACAAAAUCUUCUCCUUCCUACCAUUUUUUUUAUACACAGAUGUUGUCAUUCACUGUUGUAAUAACAGACAAAUGAGCCUGUUGACCUCUCUCUGCAGCUAAGGGUGGGGUGGAGCAGAGAGAGAGAAACUAUGUGACGGUGUUUUUAUAAAUGACUGGGGUGUCUGUAAUUUAACAAAUGACUGACAUUUUAAGGAAGACAAGUCGCCCAUGCUGUCUGUAUGUGGCUUGCUCUUCCCUAUUUUUCUAUGGGACUAUAAAGCUCUCAUCAGUGUUGUGAGAGAACCUC